rnacentral:rRNA from 1 species
AAUUAAAAUAUAGUUUUAGAAAAAAUUUUUUAAAUUUUCUUUAUAUUAUUUAUAUGUUAAUUUUAAUUGAAAUAGAAGAAAUAUUUACAAUUUUAAUAAUAUUAAAGUAGGAAUUUAAAUUUAGAUUUGGCAAAACUUGUGCCAGCCGCCGCGGUUAUACAAGUAGAUCUAUUUUUUAUGGUGAUAUUAAUAAAAUUUUAUUAUUAAUUUGUUUUAAUUUAUUAAGGUGAAAUUUUUAAAUUUUUCUAAAAGAAAUUUGAUUUUAAAAAAAUUUAAUUUAUAAACUAGGAUUAGAUACCCUAUUAUUUUAAGCUAUAUAUUGGUAGUAUAUAAUUAGUAUGAAAUCAUAAGAUUUUGGCGGUAUUUUAAGCUUUUUAGAGGAAUUUGCUCUUUAAUGGAUAAAACGCCUGGAUCUUACUUAAUUUUGUUAAGACAAUUUGUAUACCACUAUAUUUAAUUAUAUUGAAUAAUGAUAUUUAAGAUUUUAAAAUGAAAAUAUAUUAAGUCAAGGUGCAAUAUAAAAUUAUGGAUGAAGUGAAUUACAUUGAUUAUAAUUAAUAUAUUGAUGAAAAAUUAAAUUUAGGAUUUAAAAGUAAAUUAUUAAUAUAAUGAAUAUUUGAAUAUAGCUCUAAGAUAUGCACAUAUCGCCCGUCGCUCUCAAAUUUGAGAUAAGUCGUAACAAAGUAAAAGUACUGGAAAGUGUUUU